GUGCUUGUUUCGGCAGCACAUACACUAAAAUUGGAACAACAGAGAGAAGAUUAGCAUAGCCCUGCACAAGGAUGACAUGCAAAUUUGUGAAGCGUUCAUGACACAG
rnacentral:snRNA from 1 species